CCCAGUUCGGAUUGUAGUCUGCAACCCGACUACAUGAAGCUGGAAUCGCUAGUAAUCGCGAAUCAGAAUGUCGCGGUGAAUACGUUCCCGGGUCUUGUACACACCGCCCGUCACACCAUGGGAGUCGGAAAUGCCCGAAGUCAGUGACCUAACCGAAAGGGAGGAGCUGCCGAAGGUGGAGCCGGUAACUGGGGUGAAGUCGUAACAAGGUAGC
rnacentral:rRNA from 1 species